rnacentral:lncRNA from 1 species
CAAUAUUAUGCAAUGGAAGGUAAACUUGUACAUUUUAAUAUUGUCUCACAUCUUUGCAAUGAUCAUAAGCAUUUUUCAAGUCUCUGGUGGUGAAUCCAACCUUAUGUUCUGAUGAAUCAUUUCACUCCUUUUCUAGAAAGAAUCCUGCAGGUACUGAGAACACUAAAAUAACGUUCUAUUGAUGAUGAUGUAAAACGAUGAGAAUUUGGCCAAUUAUUUAAUUUGAUUUUUUAUAUUGCCUGUUACUUUCUCCACUGUUGUUUAGAGUGGAGUUCUUAGCCUAUGUUCUUCCAAGCAUGUUUGCCUUGAGCUAAAUGUAGUACCUGUGGGAUUUACAAUUGAAAGAUACACAGUAUGAUGAAGGCAACAUUGGUUCUUAAUGGCUUACUGUGGAUGGAUGCUAAGAUGUUCCAUAAAUGUACUUAAAUACUUUGGGUCUCAUUUGACAUAACAAAAGGUUUGUUGUAAGUGCAAUGCCUUUUGUGCCAUGGUGCAGGUGGGAGCUAAACACAAUGAUAAUAUCUAUAUUAAGAUAAAGUGGAUGAGGCAAAUGUUAAUUUUGUUGGUGGAUAUUUCAUGGUAGUCUAAUCAUAAGUGUGAGAAGAUUGGAUGAAAGAAACAGAUCAAGAGUCCUCCUCAUAGAUAUGGAAUUUAUUUUGUGUGAAGUCCUCAUCUUUAUGCAAACAUAUUUUUUUGUCAUCAAUGAUGAUUGUGGUUAACUAUUUAACUCUAUACAUGUAAAAGAAUAAUAUAUAUAUAAUUAAUUAAUAAACAGUCAAAUUUAAUUAAAAUAUUAUUUAAUUCAUGAUCAACAUCUCUGCAUCGAUCAGUGGACAAUCUCUCCUCUUUUUGCAUGAGGAUCAUCGACAAUAGUCGAUGGGCAAGGUAACUAAUGUUUGAAUUAUCAAGCGGACGAUGAGAAGAUAAUGAGGUAUAAUUGAUGAGAUAAAAAUAUGAUGAAAAUUAUGUAAAAGUACAGUAAGAAACGAUGAUCGAUAGAAGUUAAAUGAAUAUUAAAAAAAUAUUUUAAUUUUUUUUAAAUUUAGGCAAUUUCAUAAGAAAAUUUCAAUGUUUAUUAAAAAAAAAGAAUUCGUCCGAUGAUCAAAUCACUUUUCUCAUGAAAAGAGUGUUUUCUUAUGGAGAGAUAAAAUUAUAUAAAUAUUUUGUCGACCAUUUUAUCCAUAUUUAUGAUAUAAAUAAAUUAUUCCUGCAGUUUUGUAUUUCUUGUGCAUAGCGAAGCUUAUACACACUAUAUGUAGGAAUUAGGGUACCCCUCUCAAAUCUCUUUGUUCUCCCACAAUGGCGGCUCCGACGCUCCGCUCCGUACUACGCCGCAAUCGCCUCCUGCCCUUGUUCGAAACCUGCCACCUUCGAGAUCGCCUCUUCUUCUCUUCCUCUGUCGACGCUGCCGCCGUCACCGUAGGCGGCACCAUGUCUCCAGAUCCCCACUUCAUGGUGGAAUACCUCGUAAACUCCUGUGGGUUCUCCCCCUCCGAGGCAGCCAAGUUCUCUAAACCCCUUGCGCGCCUCCGAUCCACCGAGAAUCCCGACGCCGUCCUUAACUUCAUGAGAUCUCAGGGCUUCGACGGCGCCGGUAUCAGGAAGGUGAUAUCUGCGGAUCCCAGAUACUUAUGCUGCAACGUGGAGAAGAACUUCAGCCCGAAGUUUCAGUUCUUACGUGAUUUGGGCCUAUCGGAGUCGGAUAUCGUCGAUGCCAUCCUGAAGAACGAUGUUAUUCUGCGCCUCGACGUUCACCGUUCCUUGGUCCCCAAAUUGGAGAUGUGGGAAAGUCUCUUGGGAUCGAGAGAGCUCGUUCUCAAGCAUCUCAAGAAGACAACACGGUUUUUCCACUCCAGCGUUGAGAAGACAUUGCAUCCUAACCUAAAGUUCUUGAGGGAUGAGUGCGGCAUUCCUGAAGAAAGGGUCUCUGUCGUCUUGAGAAGUCGCCCACAUUUAUUCUCGCAGAAACCAGAGUCUCUCCGAGCUUUGGUGGUGAGAGCCGAUGAGCUGGGGAUACCACGGCAAUCUCGGAUGUUCAUGUGGACCCUUCAUGUUUUCCACAACGUAAGCAAAGAAAAGUUCGAGUCCAAGGGCGAGCUCAUGAGGAGCUUCGGGUGGUCGGAGUCGGAGUUUUCUUCUGCAGUCAUGAAAAAUCCCACCUUCUUAUGCAUCUCCCUCGAUAUGUUGCGCAGAAAAGUGGAAUUUUUUAUCAAUGUAGUCGGGUACACCCCUUCCUUCAUCGCCUCCCAUCCAAAUCUCUUGCUAUUGAGUAUGCAGAAGACGGUAAUUCCUCGGUUUCGUGUUUUGGAGAUGUUGAAUACGAAAGGCUUGUGGACUCGACGAGGCAAGUUUUUGUCCUAUGUGACAUUAUCAAAUACAAAAUUCAUGGAGAAGAUUGUUCUACCCUACAAAGAAAAGGUUCCUGAGCUUCUUGAUAUUUUGAGAGCAGGUGAGUGUGAAGGGAAAUGAGCCUUUUAUUUGGUAUCAGAGGAGGAUGAGAAGGGCUUAGCUGAUGGUCUAACUCACGUGUGAAUUUCUCAACAGGAGAUGAGCAGUGAUUCGGCACCUUUUUCCUUGACAACGAGCUGUCUUACAUCAACCACCAGCCUUGGCUACUGAGGUGCAGUCCAGUGAAAGAAUUAUUCCUUGGUGUCAUAUGGUAGUAAUGUUGUAAUUGGAAGGUCUAUGCAGUGGCCAACACAAAAUGUCUUCCAGUUUUACUCAUUAAGGUUCAUGGAAAAGUCUGUUCUUUUUUGCAAAGCAGUAAGCCCCUGGCCUGUUUGAAAUCUCUGAUUGAUGAAGGUAGAUUAUUCCCCUAGUUUGAGAUUUUGGAAAUAGAAUGCAAAUGGCUUCUCUAAAAUUCUAUUGAGGUGUGAGAUUCUUCUCAUGUGACAUGCUAGAUUGGCAUUGUUUUUGUCUUACUAAAUGUUUGCUUGAAUCAUUUUCUGAUUUUGUUUGGCACACUAUUGUUGGUUUGUAUGUGAAUUGCAGGUUUUAGAAAUUCUGCUCAGCAAUUCAACCGAGAUGAUUUUGGAUCUUAUGAACUUUUGGAUUAUGUGCAAAUUGAUUCCGAAUUGUCAUGGACAAAACUAUAAACGAGGUUUUGAUGUAAUGCUCAUAUAUGUCUGUGCAUUUUGGUUUUGUUCAUGCUUUGGAUAGCAUGUAAAGUGUUGACAAUAGGUUUAGUAGUCUCAUUUUCUUUGGUUUUGACGGCUAUCUUAGGCUUGCAAAUAAAGAUUGUGUCCUGUUGGCACUUUUGAGGAAUUCCGUUUGUAGUAGACCAUUUUGGACACUUUUGUUGUGCGAUCAUUCAAAGUUUUUAAGUCUGUCUGUAAUUUGCAUUGGCUAUAAAGUCAUUUGGAUCCCGAUUGUGAUAUUUUUUCUAACACAUUUUCUUUUUUGUAGGUUAUAAGGACCAUAGGAGGUUAUAAGUAGACCUUUUCGGAUGGAUGCGUAAGAGAGUUGCACGAUUUUGGUAAAACCAACUAAGUACGUGACAUAUGGUCUCAAAGCGGGAAAAUCACUUAUAAAAACACUUGGCAAACAAACGUGGGGAACCUAGCGGGGUUACGUUGAGAGUAGCCAGCAAGCAAGAUUGUUUGGGGGAAACUAACAUGGAGAUAUAGGAAAAAAGAAUCGCUCAGAAAAACGAAUAUCUGAGAUUGACAUUUAGAGAAAUAGCUAAUCCUUUGCUCAAGAGGCAUCACGAAGACAAGUAAGCUGGGAAGAAUGUGUAAUGCACAAAGGUUGGAAUGGCUGAGUUCGAGCUACGGCUCGAUAUUGGUAACCAUAAUAGUGUUCAAGGCAAGCGAGACGCUUGGUUAAGGAUGAGACAAUGCAAGAUGUAAUGAGUUAUUCAGCAACCGAAAGAGUUGUGAAAGGUUCACAAAGGUGAGGGGAAUUGUUAACUCGAAGAAUUCGGUACUAAGGGCUUGUAUGCGGACGAUGGAAUGUUCGUGGUCAUCCUAAGGCGAUCGAAACUCGGCACCAUGGAGCAUUGAAACUUUCUCAUCGGCAUGAGAAUGAUACAUCCGUAUAAGGUUGAAGUGUGCAACGAGUUCAAUAUGUUGCUAGGCCUUGGGGUGCAGUAGGGGUUGUAUUGAUGUGGAGUCACAAUCUAACAAGUGCGUUUGCGGGGGCAGAACAAUGCACAGUUUGUUCAGCAAGAUAGAGUAGUCUAAGAGGAUGGUGGUCUCUGAAACUUCCAGAGGGAAAGAUGCGAAGAGAGAAGUUGCUUCAUCGGGACAGAUACCUUGGAGGGAUUAGUCUCGGUUCUCUAGAGGGAGAAUUAUGUGCAACAGACCGUACAUAUUCAGGAGGAGUAUCUCAAAACAACAUCACAAAGCUUAACGGNNNNNNNNNNNNNNNNNNNNGGUGCCAAAGAUGAAGGGAGCUUCAAGGCACAUGCACCCUAUCUCGGAGAAGCAUUUGACAGAGGAACCAAGGCGACUCAACUUGCAGAAGCAAAGUUGGGUUCAUAAGGCUUUGGAAUGGAACAAGAGGACGCGGAGGUCGGUACUCUUGAAGAAUAUGCCACAAUACUGUCAUUCAAGUUGCCAUGAAGGAAGCGGUGCGUAGCGGAGAUUGUGUUGGUGGGGCAAAGGCCCAGGAUCUAGACAAUAGCGCAUUAUUUUCAACAAGGUCGGUGGACUUCAAGAGCUACUAGGCGACGGACUAUCCUAGAACGGUGCUUCAUUUGGGUGUGAUCAAAAAGCAGGUGGACGAAAGUUGAUUGCCAAAGAAGCGAACAUAAUCGAAGGUGGAAGAAGCCCUGCGAUGUGUUGGCAGAGGCCACACAAGAAGGGAUCACAAUCCGAGUUCAUCCUACAAUGAUCAGAAUGUAAUGGAGAUGCUACCAGGAGGCGACAUGGUGCAGCAGAUCGUGGUGGAAUAAUUCGUGACAAUGCGAUAUACACAAAACUAGUCCCGCGAGGGACUAGAUCAUACGAAGAUAUGAUUGGGAGCUCAACUUCGGUAAAUAAUACGAUGACAAGACAUCCUUGGUGUCUCAAGUUUAAGGACCAGAUACAACACUAGGACAAUUGAAUCACUGUUUGACAAUUAGAUAUAAUCAACAAUCCAACGUUUCAUGAGCGGAUCAAUUAGUGAACUCAUUCUCUAAUGAGCACCUGCGUUGUAUCCCUAGUGUCCCCACACGAGUAACUAUGAGACAUGUGGCCUCCGUUAUAUGGAUGGAUGUACAACAUCCUGGUCUAUUUGGUCAUCUCGAUGUCCCUCUCGAGUAACCUUUAACUCCAUCUCGAGUAACCUAUGACUGAGAUUAUUUAGGGUUUAUAUUUAAAAACGAAUCUGUCUCAUUAUCGUGAUCUUAUCACGAUCCAAUUUCUAUUGCAUAGAUCUAUAGACAUCACAAUACAUACAACAAAUAAUAUAAAGUGAAAAAAAUAUCAAAUAAAAAAUUAAUAAAAAAAUAUGUAUCAUGACACCCAUUCAAUCACACAUAUGAUUGGCUUGUAGGGUACCUAUGAUUAGCACGAAUGAGCACUCCCCCAAUAGUGAACGAAGAUGCUUCAUUCUAUAGGAUGAUUUUAUGUUCUCCGAAUAGGGAGAAAUCUAUUUCGCACUAGCAACAAUGGAUAGAGUGAUAUUCCUCAAAUGUCAAAGUAGGGAUACAUUUCUCCUAAUAGCGGAUGGAGGACAUCUAACAACCUACUAAUUCCUGAAAGAAAUCACCCUAUCUGCCCUUUUUAAGGAAACAAAAUCAUCUUAUAUUGAUAAUUUCCAUCGAGAUAAAAUAACAUAUUAAAACAUCUUAAUUUAUCUUUUAAAUAUUAUUAUUAUCAAAUAAUAUCAAUUAGUCUUUAAUUGAUUUGAAUCAUUAUUUAAUCGAUCUAAUUGAAUUAGAUUUAACUAUAACAUAAUUGAAUUAAUUUUUAAUUCUCAUUUAAUCGAUCCAAAAUCAUCUUGUACUAAUAUAAUUUAGAUUAGAUUAAGUUUAAUUUACGUUAAAUAGAUUUAAAUAAAUCAAAUCUAUUCAGAAUCACCUUCAAUCGAUUUAAAUUUAUCAAAUUAGAUUUGGCUUAAUUGAACAUAAAUAAAAUAAAAUAAAGGUAAUAAGUUAAACUUUAUAGUAAUAGGAUAGAUUAAGCUAACCGAUAUAUGCAUGACUAUGCAUGUACCUUAUCAUUAUGUUAGCUCGUAGCCUAUGGACUAAUCAUGUGCAUUGCCCAUGUUGGAUCGAAUUGAACUAGCAGCUAGGCUUAGCCUUUUGGUUGAGUCUAAUCUACGGGUUGUGGUUUAGCUUGUGGGCAGAGCCUAAGCUAAGAGCCUGAUUUACUAAGCAGAUUUCAACCUAAAUCUUAAUUAUUUUUUUAAUUUUAAAUUAUAGCAUCAUGAAAUUAUAAUCAAAACACUUAACUAUUACCAAUGAGUCAUUAAAACAUAAUAAAUAGUUAUAGAUUAAAAAUAUAUAAUUACGUUGAAGGGAAAUUAAUAUUUUUACUCAACUAUUAUACAAAUUUAAUCGAAAUUGAAUAUUACAACUAGUAUGGUGCAUGCAAAAUACAAAUUUUAAAAAUUAUUAUACUAUGAAUAAUUAUAAUAUAUUUUAAUCAAAAAAUAAAAAUUUAAGUACUUGAAUAAAUAGAGAAAAUAUUAGAAACUAUAUAUAGUAUGAAUAAUUAUAAUAUAUUUAAUCAAAAAAUAAAAUUUUAAACACUUAGAGAUAAAAUAAAAUAUUAAUUUUUUAAAAAAUAUAGAAGCGAAAGGAAACAUCUUAUUAAAUAAAAAGAGCCGAGCCCUUCAAGGUAAUAAAUUUUUUAAUUUUUAUAAUUCUUUAAUAUAUAUAUAUAAUUAAUAAAAAUAAUAUCACUAACUUAAAAUAUUGAGUAUUUAUUUUAUAAAUUUUAUUCAUAAGAAAAGAAAGUGAAUAAUUAUACUUAAAGAUUUGAGUAAAGAUGAAAUGGUCAAAUUAGUAUUUUAAGAUCAUUUUAUCCAUAUUUUUGAUAUAAAUAAUUUAUUCCUAUAAUUUUGUAUUUCUUGUGCAUAGUGAAGGUUAUACACACUACGGAUAAGGAGGGUUGUUGUAAUUAGGGUGCCGCUGUGGCUGCUCUCGUCCCACAAUGGUUGCUGCGACGCUCCGCUCCAUACUCCGUCGUAAUAGUCUUCUGCCCUUGUUCGAAACCUGUCGCCUUCGAGAUCUCCUCUUCUUCUCCUCCUAUGUCGACAUUGCUUUCGCCGUAUGCGGCACCACAUCUCCUGAUCCCCACUUCGUGAUGGAAUACCUCGUGAACUCCUGCGGAUUCUCCCCCUCCGAGGUAGCCAAGUUCUCUAAACCCAUUACUUACCUCCGAUCCACCGAUAAACCCGACGUCGUCCUUAACUUCAUGAGAUCUCAGUGCUUCAAUGGUGUCGGUAUCAGGAAGCUGAUAUCUUGGAAAGCCAGUUACCUAUGCAUGAAUGUGGAGAAGAACUUGGCCCCGAAGUUUCUUUUCUUACUCGAUUUGGGCCUAUUGGAGUCGGAUAUCGUCGAUGUCAUCUUGAAGAACCAUGUCAUCCUCCUCCUCAACGUUCACCAUUCCUUCGUUGCCAAAUUAGAGAUGUGGGAAAGUCUCUUGGGAUCGAGAGAGCUCGUUCUCAAGCAUCUCAAGAAGACAGGAUGGUUUUUCUUCUUCAGCUUUGAGAAGACAUUGCAUCCUAACCUAAAGUUCUUGAGGGAUGAGUGCGGCAUUCCUGAAAAAAGGGCCUCUCUCGUCUUGAGAAGUCACCCACAAUUAAUCUCACAGAAACCAGAGUCACUACGAGCUUUGGUGGCGAGAGCCGAUGAGCUGGGGAUGCCAUGGCUAUCUCGGAUGUUUGUGCGGACACUUAUGUUCUCCAAAUGGUAAGUAAAGAAAUGUUCGAGGCCAGGGUCGAGCUCAUGAUGAGCUACGGGUGGUCGGAGUCGGAGUUUUCUUUUGCAGUCAGGAAAGCACCCACCUUCUUAGGCAUGUCCCUCGAUAUGAUGUGCAGAAAAAUGAAAUUUUUCUAUCCAAAACCAAGCAUCGGUUAAAAUGAAUGUAGACUUGGAGGAGUGCCACAGAGGCAUAUCUACCGAUCGUAAAGAAUGAGAUGAAGAUGCGAGGUGAUGGAUAGUAGGGUCAUGGGUAUGGUAGCGUCAUGAUACCGCAAAGGCGGGACUUUCAUGAAGUCAUCGAUCCCUUGCUCUUAUAGAGGGAGAGCGCUUGGUCGUGAAAGGGAUCGGGAAGGUGGAGAAUGCAGAGACAAACAACAAUUACCGAGACAAGAUUGAAGGGCAGAGAUCAGGAAACUUCGUAAGACUGAUGUUAACCAUCUUCUCAUUAAGAUAGUUGAAAGUAAAUGACUUCAGGUUGAUGCAAGAGUGUUCAACCGAGGAAUAAAGUAGGCAGUACAUGGUGUUGUACCUUUGCAACUCAGUAGGAGUAGGCAACAAAGAUGAUGGAGAAGACGAGUACAAUCACAGUGGCGACCAAAACUAUUAGGGAUAUGCUCGAAGUUGGGGUGAAAACUUCUUGCAUUCCAGAAGUUCAAUAGCAUUGAGAAGGUGAAUUACAGUAGCUAACUCAACGUAAGGAGUACAAACACUUCGAAUGCUUCAUAAGUAUGAGCAAAGAGCAUGUGAAAGCUAGUAAUCAGCUCGAUGCAUGGAAUACAACCCUCGAGGAGGCAGGCGAAGUCAAGUAACCUUUGCCUUCUUAACUCUUAAGAGAAUGGGCGAAACCGAGUACUUCAAUUCUCUUAUCUAUCCAGUAGAGAAGCUCUACACAAGUUCAAAGACCCUUCGAAGAAAUCUAAUGGAAGACAAUAGUUGUCAAAUUCUCACCAAUGGUGAUCAGUGCCACUAAGAAUAGACUAUCCGUUUCAUUUCUUAACAGAAUGCCAAUUGAAAGCGGAAGUGGUGCGAACCUACUUGGAAGUGACGACGAAGUGGAAGAAGAAUCGAUAGACAAAUUUUAUAAAGGAAGGACCCAAAAAUUUUAAAGUUUGUGAGGCGAUGCUCGCUAAAGCUCCAACAAGCAUCCACUUAGUUCAAGCAGCACGAAGCAUUUGAGAGACGAGCGCAUACUAAGAAUGGUCUUUUCCUUCAUCUGAGGGAUCCACGGGAAACAACAGGAAUCAGCACAACUUAGUCGACCUCACACCAAAGUCAGAGUUAUUAGCGAGUUGAAACAGCAUGGCGGAUCAAAGCCGACUACUCAACAACAACGACGGAGUGCAGUUGGGAGCCAUGAGGCGCAUUGCAACUGGAGCACAAGAUUGAAGACUUAACAAAGGCGAGGAGAUGCAGCGUCUGCAAAGGUUUCGACGAGGAUGUUGAAAGAAUAAGUGGGGGAGAAUGUUACGGACAAAACUAUAAACAAGGUGUUUGAUGUAAUGCUCAUGUAUAUCUGUGUCUUUCGGUUUUGUACAUGCUUUGCAUAGCAUGUAAAUGGAUGAUAGUAGGCUUAGCAGCCUCAUUUUCUUUGGUUUUGGUGGCCAUCUUAGGCUUGCAAACAAAGAUUGUGUCAUGUGGGCACUUGCGGGGAUUUCAGUCUGUAGUUGACCAUUUUGGACCCUUUGCUGUGCGACCGUUUAAAGUUUGUGAAGUCUAUUUAUAAUUUGCAUUGGCUAUGAAGUGCUUGUUGGAAUGAUUACAUGUGGAUCCCGAGUGAGAUGCUUUCUCUACCCCGUUUUCUCUUUUUUAGGUCCGAAGGGACAAUACGAGGUUUCAGGGAGGUUGACCUUCGCGAAUGGACACACGAGGGUGCUGCACAACUUUGGCAAAGCCAGCUAAAUACCUGACAGAACGGGUAUUAGGUCUGUCCAAAUUAAUUCCGGAUGAGUUUUUGGUUGUUGGGUGAGUGUCAAAGAGCUAUGUUUCAGAUCAAGUUAUGCAGUAUGUAUAUAUCACCAAAGAUCACAAAAAGUUACAUGGAGUAGUAUUUGCUCUAAUGAUUUUAGUAGCUGAAAAAAAUUUAAACACCAAAGUGUUGUUUCUAUAAUUUGUUUUAAGUGAGUUUUUACGGAUUUAUGGAUUUGGAUGUCUUCAAGGAGGUGUUAUCUUGUCCGUUGAGCUUCUUUGCAAACUUAUUCGUGUGCUAAUUGGAAGAUUUCAUUUCUGUUUCUUUUAUGUAUUGUGAUAUUUGCAUGCAGGGGCCUCAAUGGAAUUUGCAAGACCAGUUGCUGUGUUGAUCAGGAUUACCAUUGGUACUCACCCAUUUGUUUUGCAUGUAAGAAGGUGUCACUUUGCUUGCAGGUUGAAUGGACUUCAGAGAAUCAAAACUUGAGUAUGAUAUCCUGAAAUGUCUUCAGCCUCAUUGGAAUUGUUGCUCAGGCAUUUCCUGCAUCAACAAACUCUAACAUGCAAACUAAUUUAUAUGCCUAAACAUUUUAAAAUUGACAAAAAAUGUGUAUUUCAAAUUUCUGUAAUUGUCUUUACGUUUUGUUGUAGAGUUAAUGAUCAUUACAUCACAAGGUUUUAUGUCCUGCAUUUAGUGCAGAAAUGACUACUUAUGAUUGUGCACACUAUCCUGACCCAUUCACAGCUACCUUGUUUCCGCCUCUCCAUGCAAUUGUGCAUAUUUUUAAUAUCACAGUUCAGAUAAGAUCAUAAGAAUUUCGAUCAUCGUUCUCAAUAUGUAAAACGUUUUCUGAAUCUUUAUAUUAGCUGUUCCAUCUUUUGCAGCGAAUUUUGUGUAGCUGUGCAUGAGUUCUUGAUCUUACAACUUUCAAGUGCAUCAAGAAUAUUGGAAGGUAUGCAAAAACUGCUUUUCUAAUUACAUUCUUGAUCCUGCCAAGCUUGUUAGUAGUGCGACAGAGUUUGCUAUGAAUCUUUUCUCUUACAAGCAGAUCAUUGGAAGUGAUUCUUGGAUUCUUGUUCAUAGUAUUAGCUGUUCCAUCUUUUGCAGCGAAUUUUGUGUAGCUGUGCAUGAGUUCUUGAUCUUACAACUUUCAAGUGCAUCAAGAAUAUUGGAAGGUAUGCAAAAACUGCUUUUCUAAUUACAUUCUUGAUCCUGCCAAGCUUGUUAGUAGUGCGACAGAGUUUGCUAUGAAUCUUUUCUCUUACAAGCAGAUCAUUGGAAGUGAUUCUUGGAUUCUUGUUCAUAGUAUUUGCUUUAUUUUUUAGUGUGUUGGUUUAUUUAAUCUGUUGUGAGGUCAGUACGACAGUUUCAAAAUCAUUUGCUUUUUAUCUCGAUUCUCAAUGGGCAUAUCGAGACUCGUAAUGGGCCUAAAUUGGGCUUUCACAUUGACUAGGCUUGCCCAAUGUUUUCGCCCAAUCGAACCCAUUGUGGACCCGUAAGCAGCCCAUUUCUUGUGGCGUACGCUCAACCCUCAUCCAAACUGCACCCACGUGUCUCUCUCUCGUUCACUCAGAGGCUUCGGAGGCCUCCGUUGCGCCCACUCGUCCCUGCUUGAUAGACCUCGACCCGUCCGCCGUUGGAUCAUCGUCCAUCACGUAUCCUGUCCGUCCAUUCCCCCCACUAACAAAGUCCUGUCUCCCGUCCUCUCUUCCCCGCUUCACCCAAGGAAAGAGAAGAGAGCCGAGAUGGCCACCCUCCGCCCGUCUCCCAUCGCCCUCGCCCCCGCCGCCCUUUCAUCCGUCGCCGCCGUCCCCGUCUCCUCCUCCCUCCGUCGCGUCCGCCUCCCCUCCGCCCCCCGCCGCCUCCCCUCACUCAGGGUCGCCUACCCCUCCUCCCGCCGCCCCCGCCGCGGCGCCGUUAUGAUGGAUACCGCCGCGUCGAGCUACGCGAACGCGCUCGCCGAAGUCGCCCGGUCCAACGGCACCCUGGAGGUGACGGUCACCGACAUGGAGAAGGUGGAGCGGGUGUUCGCCGAUCCGAAUGUCCAGUCCUUCUUCGCCAACCCCACGGUGGCGCGCGAGCGGAAGGCGGAGGUGGUGAAGGAGAUCGCCGCCUCCAGCGAGCUAUGCCCCCACACGGCCAACUUCCUGAACAUCCUCGUCGACAUGCGGCGCAUCGACAUCAUCGAGGACAUCGUGAAGGAGUUCGAGGUGUGCUACAACCGGAUCACCAACACGGAGGUGGCCGUCGUGUCAUCGGUGGUGCGGCUGGAGUCGCAAGACCUCACCCAGAUCGCCCAGACGGUGCAGAGGCUCACCGGGGCCAAGAACGUGAGGAUCAAGACGGUGCUCGACCCCUCCCUCGUCGCCGGCUUCACGAUCAGGUAUGGGCCAUCAGGUUCCAAGUUCAUCGACAUGAGCGUCAAGAAGCAGCUCGAUGAGAUCGCUUCGCAGCUCGAUUUCUCCUCCAUCACCCUCGCCUAGUCGACAGGUCAGCCUAUUCGUACUUACUCUUCCUCUUCCUUGUUUCAAGAUGCAAUCUUGUUGUGAAUCAUAAGGCACUUUGGGGGAUUUUCUUUAAAUGUUUGUGAUAGAUUUCUCUUCAGGCAAUCAGGUAAGUGUGAUUUCUGUUAAUUCUUCAUCAAAUCUGCUCCUUUUUUCUUCUUUCUUCCAAUUGUAAGCUAUGUGUCUGUUAUCAUUACACAACUAUGUGUUAGCAUAAUAUAGAUUGGAAGUUAAAUAUAUCAAGCAAUGAUCGUAAGAAUUCUUCAAUGUCAUGGAGAGUAUUGAAGCUGAAGUUGUUGCAGGAUCGUUUAACUAUUGAUUGUUGUUAGCAAGCAGUAUGUAAGAAGGACAUUGCAAUAGCAUUCUUGGCUUAAAAUUUGAUUUGCUAAUUACCUUACUUUUCACUAAAGCAUGAUUGUGCCCUGUAAGAUUUUUAAUCAAAAGCUAAAUGUUUCUCUCCCUUAGAUUGGUAAUUUUUGAGGUGUUAUUGUUAUGUGUAGCAAUAUUAUGCAAUGGAAGGUAAACUUGUGCAUUUUAAUAUUGUCUCACAUCUUUGCAAUGAUCAUAAGCAUUUUUCAAGUGUCUGGUGGUAAAUCCAACCUUAUGUUCUGAUGAAUCAUUUCACUCCUUUUCUAGAAAGAAUGCAGCAGGUACUGAGAACACUGAAAUAACAUUCUAUAGAUGAUGAUGUAAAACGAUGAGAAUUUGGCCAAUUAUUUAAUCCGAUUUUUUAUAUUGCCUGCAACUUUCUCCACUGUUGUUUAGAGUGGAGUUCUUAGCCUAUGUUCUUCCAAGCAUGUUUGCCUUGAGCUAAAUGUAGUGCCUGUGGG